UAUCAUCCUCUCUUCUCCAACACAUACAUGCGUUCUUCUCUUCUUCAUCAUCACUGUGACUCACUCAUCCCUCAACUUCACUCAGACACGUUCAUCUUCCCUCAGCUACUCAUUCAUGCAUAAAAUCACUCCCUCUCCCUCUCAAUCACUCAUUCACUCUCUGACAAAGAAAAAGAGAGGAGAAGGGAAGAAGAGGGAGACCGCGUUGCUGCUGCCGCCAAUUGGAGUUGUUGCCAUCGCUGGAAGGAGCUGAGCAGGCAGGGGAAGAACGUGACGAUGGGCGCAUCUACUGCUGCUGCUACCAUCAACGUUGUUGGGACUCACGAAGAAUUGAACCGUGUUUCUGCUGCCCAGGCUGAUUGGGUUGGUGCUGCCACCACUAAAACAAGUGUCUUGGCUUCUGGCUUCUGUUCUUCUAAGCGCCAGAGCUGCUGGUGCUUCGUUUGAUCUCCCCUGCUGCAAACUAUUUCCAUAUUUAAUUUCCGUCAAAUUCGAAUCCCUUGUUUUGCUGCGAUCAUCAUCACUGCCGUGGAAAGUUGCUGCUGCUGCUGCUGCGGGAAUGAUUUCAGAACAAAAAGAGGGUUUUGCAUUUAAUUUCUGAGUUCGACUAAUCUAGGUAGGGGAUGCAUUUUUAAAUUAAAGAUUUUAAAUUUUUAAAUGCCUGUGAGAUUCAGUAAAUAAAUGCAAAUAUAUUAUAAUUAUUUUGUGUAAUUAAUUAUUGAUAAUGGUUGAUUUGUGGCUGUAAUUGGUGACUGGUUUCAUGUUAUUAUGGUUGUGGAUUAUGUUUGGUUUCCUGAUUGUUUGGAAAUGAUUGGUUGUUGGAAUUCUCGGUUAUGUGGAUUUCUUUGAUUUGGUUGUUGGAUUUAGACUUGCUUGAUGUUUGUGUAUAUUUUUGCAAGUUUGAUUGAGAAUUAUUAUUUGAUGGAGAAAAUUUGAUUGGAUAAUGCUGGGCUGUAUGUUGAAUUGAAUUAGGAUAAGUUGAGAUUGAGAUUGGGAGAACCCUUAAGGGUGGUUAAAUCUAUUUUCAAGAGGAGAUUAUGCCCGUAUUUUUGUAAAUGUAAGGAUUAGGUAGUUAUGUAUCUAUACAUGUGGCUGUGUUUGAUGAUGAUUGUUGAUGAUGAACUGUAUAUAUGAUUGAUGAUUAUGUUGUUUGAAAAUUCUUGUAUCAUGGGCGUACAUGAUGGUGAAUGAUGAUUUAAUGCUCUUGGGGAUGUAAUAAUAUAUGAGACAAGUAGGAAUAACCACAAAUAUGUUAGAAUGAAGAAUUGAUGGGAGUUAGAAGUUUAGGAAACCAAACUUACUUAGUAUAGCUUCAAUACACUUGCUGCAAAAAUUCUGCAAAAUCUUGACAGCAAAUUAUAAGAAUUUCUGGGAACAAUCUAGAUGGUCUUUUUAAAUAAAAUUAUUUUUCUAAUAAACUUCAAGAAGUAUAUACCAUCCCUUAAAAUUUUCAGAAUUUUUUACCGAGUAGAUUGGAUGGAAGAUAUGAUUUUUCAAAAUCUGUUUUUCUCUGCUAAAAUUGUUAAUUUUGAGUGAUGAGGACAGCAUCUUCCAAGCUACUUAAUUUUUGAUUCCCUUAAUAUUUUGAGUUACAACCAAAAUAAUAUUGAAGCUUUGUAUGUGUAGUAUAUCCUGUCCAAUUUUCAGCUCAAUUCAAGCUCUAAAAAGAAAGUUAUUCAAGUUGGAAAUAAUAUUGCUGUUGUUGUGUCAGAACAGAGUGUUACAAAAUUUUAGUCAACUUACCCGAUUUAAUGCUUUUAUUCUAGACAUCCAAUUUGAGUGAAAUCAAUUUUGUAUAAAACUUUGACAUGUUAAACUUACUUUCCUGAAAAUUUCAGAAUUAAUUGAGUUAUAACUUGGGAGUUAUGAUUUUUGAAAGUUUGGACGUUUUCUGCAUAAAACCUAUUUUCGUAUUCUGAAACAACAAAUUCCAAGUCAUAUAUCUUUUGAGUCUGAUUGAAUUUUAACUUAAAACUGGUGGCAAACAAAAGAUUGAGAUGUCUAGAAUAAUUAGGUCCAAAGUGAUUCAUUUCUAUUUUGAGUAAUUAAUUAUAUAACUUGAAAGGUGACUAGUUCACUGAAUUUUCAUGAAUAAACCGAUUAAAACAGAACAUGCUUCACAAUUACAUAACUUCUUCGUAUGAUAUAAUAUGAGGAUAAAACUUGGUUUAAAACCUCACUAAACAAGUGCUCAGUGAGGGAGAGUCUCCGAACUAAUAAAACAUGAUAUAGGACAUAUUUUAUUGGCUAGGCAGAGAUCCCCAGCCAGGAAAAAUGUAUUGGUUAGGAGAAGAGCCCUUGGUCAGGAUGGAUGUACUGGCCAAGUAUGAAUAUUUUGGUGAGGACCAGAGUUGGCAGUAAAUAUUCUAGGCAGGACCAGAUUUGAUUAGUGGUAGCAUCGAUGGACCCAGAGCGAAUUGUUUGGUGAGAAGGGGUGAGGUCGAAGGGGUGAGGUUGCUCUGACGAAACCAAAGCGAAUUAUCUGAGAAGGAAAAACGUGUUGGGUAGGGAUGAAUUAUUGAUAGCCCCAAUGGACCCAGAAUGGACUAUCUGGUGUGAUGGAGUGAGGUUCGCUCCGACGGAACCAGAGCAGAUUAUCUGGUGAGAAGGAGAAACGUAUGGGGUAGGAAUGUCUACCGAAAAAGUUGUUUCUCUUUCGAGCGCAUACCUUUGAGUUGCAUUACUGAUUGAGUUGAGAAACUAUAUCCGAGCAUAACCUCAGGUAAGUCGGGAUGCGAAUAAACAACCGUUGCAUGAGCUCAUGGUUUACACUAGAGACAGGCAUGCAUCAUAUUGCAUUGGAUUGUGUUUGUUUAUUUUAUUUUUUGUGAUUGUGCUGUUUGUCUCAUUGCGACCUAUUUGUGUAUUGAUUUGGGUGUCUUACUUGUGUUGUUGGUCAUGAAUGUAUUGAGGUAAUUGAGAAUUGAUUUAUAUGUUUGAGGAAUGGUUAGUGUGACUGAGAACUGAUUAGGAACGUAAAACUGUGUUAAGAUUUAAGAAAUUUUUAGGUUUGAUAAAGAAAAUUGUUUUUGGAAUACGAGUUAACUAUUUGUAUUUAUUAUUUCUUUUUGUGGCAUUUGCGUUCUGUAUUGAGAAUAUGUGGUUUGUUCUCACCCUAAAUUUUCUAAAACCUUGAGAUACAGACAGAACGAAUGAAAGAUUUGUUUCGGAUAGUUACUUUUGGGUUUAUUUUCCCUCGUCCUUGAUGU